rnacentral:rRNA from 1 species
GGACUACCGGGGUAUCUAAUCCCGUUUGCUCCCCUGGCUUUCGCGCCUCAGCGUCAGAAGAGGUCCAGCAGCUCGCUUUCGCCACCGGCGUUCCUUCCGAUAUCAACGCAUUUCACCGCUCCACCGGAAGUUCCAGCUGCCCCUACCUCCCUCCAGCCCCCCAGUAUCCAAGGCCCUUUUCCGGUUAAGCCGAAAGAUUUCACCCCGGACUUGGGAGACCGCCUACGCGCCCUUUAAGCCCAGUGAUUCCGAACAACGUUUGCACGGUUCGUCUUACCGCGGCUGCUGGCAC